rnacentral:rRNA from 1 species
GAUUAGUCUCGUUGGUGACCAGCGGAGGGAUCAUUACCGAGUUUACAACUCCCAAACCCCUGUGAACAUACCUAUCGUUGCCUCGGCGGUGCCCGCUCCGGCGGCCCGCCAGAGGACCCCCAAACUCUUGUUUUAUACAGUAUCUUCUGAGUAACACGAUUAAAUAAAUCAAAACUUUCAACAACGGAUCUCUUGGUUCUGGCAUCGAUGAAGAACGCAGCGAAAUGCGAUAAGUAAUGUGAAUUGCAGAAUUCAGUGAAUCAUCGAAUCUUUGAACGCACAUUGCGCCCGCCAGUAUUCUGGCGGGCAUGCCUGUUCGAGCGUCAUUUCAACCCUCAAGCCCCCGGGCUUGGUGUUGGGGAUCGGCGUGCCCUCGCGGCGCGCCGUCCCCUAAAUCUAGUGGCGGUCUCGCUGUAGCUUCCUCUGCGUAGUAGCAACACUCGCACUGGAUCGCAGCGCGGCCACGCCGUUAAACCCCCCACUUCUGAAAGUUUGACCUCGGAUCAGGUAGGAAUACCCGCUGAACUUAAGCAUAUCAAUAGGCCGGAGGAAAC